CUACGGGGGGCUGCAGUGGGGAAUAUUGCACAAUGGAGGAAACUCUGAUGCAGCGACGCCGCGUGGAGGAUGACACUUUUCGGAGCGUAAACUCCUUUUAUAUAGGAAGAAGAUGACGGUACUAUAUGAAUAAGCGCCGGCUAACUCCGUGCCAGCAGCCGCGGUAAUACGGAGGGCGCAAGCGUUACUCGGAAUCACUGGGCGUAAAGAGCGUGUAGGCGGAUUAAAAAGUCAGAAGUGAAAUCCUAUAGCUUAACUAUAGAACUGCUUCUGAAACUCUUAAUCUAGAAUAUGGGAGAGGUAGAUGGAAUUUCUGGUGUAGGGGUAAUAUCCGUAGAGAUCAGAAGGAAUACCGAUUGCGAAGGCGAUCUACUAGAACAUUAUUGACGCUGAGACGCGAAAGCGUGGGGAGCAAACAGGAUUAGAUACCCCCGUAGUC
rnacentral:rRNA from 1 species